rnacentral:sRNA from 1 species
CACAUCAAGUAUAACGCACAUACAAUAUGAUCUCUCUUAUUGGUAAAAUAUGCAAAUAGUAAGUUACAAGAAGAGAAAUCUACCUCAGGAAGAGAAAGCAAAUGCCUGGAUAACUGAAUUCCACAAGCCCCAUUUUUCACUCUGUCAAUUGUUGGAAACAACAAAUUGAUAGAUGGCUUCUUUAGCUCAUGGUUUGCUGUCCAGCAACCCCACUCUGGAUCAGACUCUUCGGAGUCCAAAUCCUGAUUACAUCGUUUACCAGCUGCUGAAGCAAAGCUUGCAAUGAAUUGUGGAUUAAUUGAAGUCCCAAUGGAUGAAGCACCUACAAAUAUUUUAA